GUGGGGUUGCCCGAGUGGUCAAAGGGCGCAGGCUGCAAACCUGUUGUUCGCCGGUUCGAAUCCGGCACCCCACUCCA
rnacentral:tRNA from 1 species